rnacentral:rRNA from 1 species
UGCAAGUCGAGCGGUAGCACAGAGAGCUUGCUCUCGGGUGACGAGCGGCGGACGGGUGAGUAAUGUCUGGGAAACUGCCUGAUGGAGGGGGAUAACUACUGGAAACGGUAGCUAAUACCGCAUAACGUCGCAAGACCAAAGUGGGGGACCUUCGGGCCUCAUGCCAUCAGAUGUGCCCAGAUGGGAUUAGCUAGUAGGUGGGGUAACGGCUCACCUAGGCGACGAUCCCUAGCUGGUCUGAGAGGAUGACCAGCCACACUGGAACUGAGACACGGUCCAGACUCCUACGGGAGGCAGCAGUGGGGAAUAUUGCACAAUGGGCGCAAGCCUGAUGCAGCCAUGCCGCGUGUAUGAAGAAGGCCUUCGGGUUGUAAAGUACUUUCAGCGGGGAGGAAGGCGAUAAGGUUAAUAACCUUGUCGAUUGACGUUACCCGCAGAAGAAGCACCGGCUAACUCCGUGCCAGCAGCCGCGGUAAUACGGAGGGUGCAAGCGUUAAUCGGAAUUACUGGGCGUAAAGCGCACGCAGGCGGUCUGUCAAGUCGGAUGUGAAAUCCCCGGGCUCAACCUGGGAACUGCAUUCGAAACUGGCAGGCUAGAGUCUUGUAGAGGGGGGUAGAAUUCCAGGUGUAGCGGUGAAAUGCGUAGAGAUCUGGAGGAAUACCGGUGGCGAAGGCGGGCCCCCUGGACAAAGACUGACGCUCAGGUGCGAAAGCGUGGGGAGCAAACAGGAUUAGAUACCCUGGUAGUCCACGCCGUAAACGAUGUCGAUUUGGAGGUUGUGCCCUUGAGGCGUGGCUUCCGGAGCUAACGCGUUAAAUCGACCGCCUGGGGAGUACGGCCGCAAGGUUAAAACUCAAAUGAAUUGACGGGGGCCCGCACAAGCGGUGGAGCAUGUGGUUUAAUUCGAUGCAACGCGAAGAUCUUACCUGGUCUUGACAUCCACAGAACUUAGCAGAGAUGCUUUGGUGCCUUCGGGAACUGUGAGACAGGUGCUGCAUGGCUGUCGUCAGCUCGUGUUGUGAAAUGUUGGGUUAAGUCCCGCAACGAGCGCAACCCUUAUCCUUUGUUGCCAGCGGUUAGGCCGGGAACUCAAAGGAGACUGCCAGUGAUAAACUGGAGGAAGGUGGGGAUGACGUCAAGUCAUCAUGGCCCUUACGACCAGGGCUACACACGUGCUACAAUGGCAUAUACAAAGAGAAGCGACCUCGCGAGAGCAAGCGGACCUCAUAAAGUAUGUCGUAGUCCGGAUUGGAGUCUGCAACUCGACUCCAUGAAGUCGGAAUCGCUAGUAAUCGUAGAUCAGAAUGCUACGGUGAAUACGUUCCCGGGCCUUGUACACACCGCCCGUCACACCAUGGGAGUGGGUUGCAAAAGAAGUAGGUAGCUUAACCUUCGGGAGGGCGCUUACCAC